CCGGGUGUAGCGCAGUUGGUAGCGCGCUUGUUUUGGGAACAAGAUGCCGCAGGUUCAAGUCCUGUCACUCGGA
rnacentral:tRNA from 1 species